UUCUGCCCCACCCCCUUGAAAAAUUGAUUUGGGAGUUAGGGAAUGAAGGCUUUCUUUUUUUCUUUCUUGCCUUCUUUAUUAUUAAUAUUUUGUAAAGCUUCAGUGCUAACAGGAGUCGCCCCGAGCGAGGCCAGACUGCACGGACGGCCAGGAGCGCAGUGGCUCCACCAGGGGACGGCGCCGGCCGGGAGUGGCCGCCCAGGGACCCCGACUGUCGGCCGAGGUAUGCCUCUCCCAUGUAGACCAGCUGAGGACUCAAGGCAAGAAAUGACUUCUCACCGCACGAGACAAGUCUGACUGUACUGAAUGAUCACCCUGUUGCCUUCGUCUGCCUUCACUGCCUUCCCUUCUACCCGGGGCGCUAAGCAUGGAGGAGAAGACAGCUUGGACUCACAACCCACGCUGGAGAAGGUGCAGCCUACUGCUAUUUCCAGGCAUUAUACAAAAAGAUUUCUGCACACUAGUUGAGCCUUCAAACAGCGCCAUAAGACCUCAUCCCAGGUCCUGGGAUACGGAGAUGAACCAGGCAGGGCCCUGUCCUCAGGGGGCUCACGUCUAGUGGGAUCAUUCAUGUCUGAGCAUCUGUUCGUCUGUCGGCCCACCCACUGCACAGGGAGUGCCUCCAGGGAAUCUGAUCAACUCUAAGCGAGAGCCCUGCACGGCAGAAAUCAGUGGAUGUUUAUUGAAUGAAUAAAUAAAUAAACGGAGAAAGAAGGUUGAAAGAAGAACAACGCUUGAGGUUAUUACGGAAGUCUUAUGCCUCUUACACUCAGAAACCUUUGUUAAAAAUUUAAUAACUUUUAAAUUAUGAAUAUAACAUACUUCAUUAUAGAAAAUUCGGAAAGUAUAGAAAUUCACAAAUGAGAAGACAAAAAUAAUCCAGAGUACUAACCCCCAGGGUUAGUCUUUUUGUUUAUUCCUUUGGUCUUUUAUAUGUCUGGUUAUCUUUUUUAAAGAAACAACACUUGGAUCUUGCUAUAUAUAUAGCUUUGCAGUUUACAUUAUAAAAAACACUAACAGUGUAUCAUGAGCAUUUUCCUAAUGGAACAUUCUUUCAAACCUAAGUGUCUACUUAAAGGUUGGAUUUAUUUUCACCAAUGGUGACAUCCUUUACCAUGUAAAAUAAUUAUAAACCCAAGACUGAGGUUGAAAUCACAAUGGGAAGAAUAUUUAGCAGGUUUCCAGGCUGCACACUGGGCCUCAGCCAUGGCUGCUCAGUCUUUCCCCAGCAAACACCCUGGGAAAUGCCUUGAGAAUGUCAGCUGGAGGCAUCAGCCUUACUUGGCUCCUUUAAGACUCAGAGUUACAUCAUCAGCACAUUCACUUUCUACAGUUUUGAUCUCUGUGGGUACCAUGAAAAUUCCCUUGUGGCUGCAGAAGAACUGUGAUACAGGCAUCAGAGUGUGUGAUUAAGGGCUGGCUCUGGAGUCAGAUUCAACCUAAACUGGCUCCACCUGAGAUGGGUGUGUGAUCUUGGCAAGGACCUUCACCUCUCUGGGCUUCAGUUCUUUCAUCUGUAACACAGGGCAGCACCUGCGCCCACCUCCACGGGCAGUCACCAGAAAUUGAGCACAAUGCCUGGCACAUGAGAAGCCACCAAUAAA